GAGUUGAUAAAACCACAAUUCCUGUUGGAGGCAAGGCAUGGUGUUCAGGGUGGUGAUGGAGAAAAAUCUUUGUGUUAAUAUGAGCAUAAGUCAAGGAGCUUUGGCAGGAUCCGUAACGGUCCCUUCUCUAACCGAGCACAACACUACAAGGCCAUCCCAGGAUAGACCACCACACGUGUCUUCCACCUGCUUUUUGUCUAUGGAAAAACUUUUAGUCAAAGAGUAAAUUUAAUCAGAGAAGAGAGAACAUGCUGAAA